AGCGGCUCGGGAGGCUGAGAAAGGAGGAUCGUGAGUUCAGAGCCAGCCUCAGCAGACAGCGGGGCGCUGAGCAACUCAGUGAGACCCUGUCUCUAAAUAAGAUACAAAAAAUAGGGCAGGGGAUGUAGCUCAGUGCCCCUGAGUUCAAUGGCCAGUCCCUCCCACCCCGAAAAUUUGUGCUGAAAAUGUAGAUCUUCCUAACAACACGGCUCCGGCUGAGUGUGAGGAUCCGUGGGGUGCUGGGUGAGCAGAGGGAGCUGGAGUCUGGGCGACGGGGCAUGAGUGCUGGUUCUGUGCACGCCCUGUACCACCGUACAGAGAAGGCUUGGGCUCUCAGGCAUUUUGGCAAUGCCUGGGGGGAACUUCUUCCUCUUCCUACUGUUUUGGUGCUGGGGAUCGAACCUGGGGUCUUGAGCAUGCCACCCAAGCCCUCUACACUCAACCUCACCUUAGCCUUUUAAAAACUUUGAGUCAGGAUCUUGCUGAAUUGCCCAAUCU
rnacentral:lncRNA from 1 species